AGGCUAAUAGUUUAACGGUUAGAAUAGAUGAUCGAUAAUCGUCUGGUGAUGGUUCAAUUCCAUCUUGGCCUA
rnacentral:tRNA from 1 species